GUACUCGAAUUGAUGGAUAAGGCUUAAAAUCUGAAUUUGGAGUUAAGUAGUAGUAGUAUAAUUUUAUAUGUUGGACUUGAAAUUGAAUUAGGAGAUAACUAUAGAUCCUACACUAUCAGUUUCUGAAAACUAUCAGAUUUACCUUUAAAAGCUGUGGUUUAUAUGUAUUGUCGUAGUUUGUAUGCGGUAAAUACCCAGAUUAGUAUAGGAUGGGUUUGCGCUCGUGCUGGGAUGCCGAGUUUAUUUUACAGUAGUGUGUAGACUGUUUCGGGUUGACGAGUGCCUUCGCGGUUGACGGUGGACCCAGAUUUUUAUAUUUGAAU
rnacentral:lncRNA from 1 species